rnacentral:rRNA from 1 species
GACGAACGCUGGCGGCGUGCUUAACACAUGCAAGUCGAACGAAGAGCGAUGGAAGCUUGCUUCUAUCAAUCUUAGUGGCGAACGGGUGAGUAACGCGUAAUCAACUUGCCCUUCAGAGGGGGACAACAGUUGGAAACGACUGCUAAUACCGCAUACGAUCUAAUCUCGGCAUCGAGGAUAGAUGAAAGGUGGCCUCUACAUGUAAGCUAUCACUGAAGGAGGGGAUUGCGUCUGAUUAGCUAGUUGGAGGGGUAACGGCCCACCAAGGCGAUGAUCAGUAGCCGGUCUGAGAGGAUGAACGGCCACAUUGGGACUGAGACACGGCCCAGACUCCUACGGGAGGCAGCAGUGGGGAAUCUUCCGCAAUGGACGAAAGUCUGACGGAGCAACGCCGCGUGAGCGAUGACGGCCUUCGGGUUGUAAAGCUCUGUUAAUCGGGACGAAAGGCCUUCUUGCGAAUAGUGAGAAGGAUUGACGGUACCGGAAUAGAAAGCCACGGCUAACUACGUG